AAUGUCCAACACUAGAGGGCGUAGCUAUAAGGCGAGAGGGGGAAGGUUUCAUGAGGAUGUGCGGGCAAGUUUUUUACACACAGUAA